rnacentral:rRNA from 1 species
AACGAACGCUGGCGGCAGGCUUAACACAUGCAAGUCGAGCGCCCCGCAAGGGGAGCGGCAGACGGGUGAGUAACGCGUGGGAACGUACCCUUUGCUACGGAAUAGCUCCGGGAAACUGGAAUUAAUACCGUAUGUGCCCUACGGGGGAAAGAUUUAUCGGCAAAGGAUCGGCCCGCGUUGGAUUAGCUAGUUGGUGGGGUAAUGGCCUACCAAGGCGACGAUCCAUAGCUGGUCUGAGAGGAUGAUCAGCCACAUUGGGACCGAGACACGGCCCAAACUCCUCCGGGAGGCAGCAGUGGGGAAUAUUGGACAAUGGGCGCAAGCCUGAUCCAGCCAUGCCGCGUGAGUGAUGAAGGCCUUAGGGUUGUAAAGCUCUUUCACCGGAGAAGAUAAUGACGGUAUCCGGAGAAGAAGCCCCGGCUAACUUCGUGCCAGCAGCCGCAGUAAAAC